UGAGUGCUUGAGCCCUCCGCGUGGACCCCGAGAAGGGCGAUGCCGAGCUCUCCGCUCGGCCCGGACGAUGGAUGGACUUGGCAGAGCAGAGGGCGAGGCUGAGGCCACAGUCUGCACC
rnacentral:SRP_RNA from 1 species